UACGGAGGGUGCAAGCGUUAUCCGGAUUCACUGGGUUUAAAGGGUGCGUAGGUGGGAAUGUAAGUCAGUGGUGAAAUCUCCGUGCUUAACAUGGAAACUGCCAUUGAUACUAUGUUUCUUGAAUUUUCUGGAGGUAAGCGGAAUAUGUCAUGUAGCGGUGAAAUGCUUAGAUAUGACAUAGAACACCAAUUGCGAAGGCAGCCUCCUGGGCCAGCACUGACGCUCAUGCACGAAAGCGUGGGGAGCAAACAGG
rnacentral:rRNA from 1 species